UAGCGAGGCCACCGUUGCCUCCGUGGGGACGCCCACGUAAAGCUGACACCUAGCGAUUGCUGGGCUGAGCUCGUGGCGCAAGAUGGCACAAGAAUGUAUGGAUGGUCCAUCUUCCUCACAGUCCUCGAUAGUCUGGGGAUGUUCAAUUGCUGGCAGCGAGGAC